CCUACGGGUGGCUGCAGUGAGGAAUAUUGGUCAAUGGCCGGAAGGCUGAACCAGCCAAGCCGCGUGAAGGACGAAGGUGCCCAGCAUUGUAAACUUCUUUUGUCAAGGGACAAAAUCAGGCUCGAGAGCCUGACCGCGGUUACUUUAAGAAAAAGCAUCGGCUAACUCCGUUCCAGCCGCCGCGCUAAUACGGAGGAUGCGAGCGUUAUCCGGAUUUAUUGGGUUUAACGGGUGCGUAGGCGGACUGUUAAGUCAGCGGUAAAAGCCCGGGGCUAAACCCCGGCGAGCCGUUGAAACUGGCUGUCUUGAGAUGUCGAGAGGGAGGCGGAAUGCGCAGUGUAGCGGUGAAAUGCUUAGAUAUUGCGCAGAACUCCGAUGGCGAAGGCAGCAUACCGGCGGCGAUCUGACGCUGAGGCACGAAAGCGUGGGUAUCGAACAGGAUUAGAUACCCUUGUAGUC
rnacentral:rRNA from 1 species